UACGUAGGGUGCAAGCGUUGUCCGGAAUUAUUGGGCGUAAAGAGCUCGUAGGCGGUCUGUCGCGUCGGCUGUGAAAACUCGGGGCUCAACCCCGAGCCUGCAGUCGAUACGGGCAGACUAGAGUGCGGUAGGGGAGACUGGAAUUCCUGGUGUAGCGGUGAAAUGCGCAGAUAUCAGGAGGAACACCUGUGGCGAAAGCGGCGCACUGGACCACAACUGACGCUGAGGCGCGAAAGCUAGGGGAGCAAACAGG
rnacentral:rRNA from 1 species